rnacentral:rRNA from 1 species
UACAGAGGUCCCAAGCGUUGUUCGGAUUCAUUGGGCGUAAAGGGUGCGUAGGCGGCGCGGUAAGUCGGGUGUGAAAUCUCGGAGCUUAACUCCGAAACUGCAUUCGAUACUGCCGUGCUUGAGGACUGGAGAGGAGACUGGAAUUCAUGGUGUAGCAGUGAAAUGCGUAGAGAUCAUGAGGAAGACCAGUGGCGAAGGCGGGUCUCUGGACAGUUCCUGACACUGAGACGCGAAGCCAGGGGAGCAAACGGG